ensembl:snRNA U6 U6 spliceosomal RNA
GUCCUAGAUUCGGCAGCACAUUUACUAAAAUUGGAACGAUACAGAGAUUACAUAGCCCCUGAACAAGGAUGACACAAAAAGCAAUGUGGACCUAAAACCAUAA